GGCCCGGGUUUAGCUCAGUUGGGGUCAGAGCGUGGUGCUAAUAACCCAAGGUCGUUGGGGUUAAAUCCCCAUACUGGCCA